CAGCUCGUCUUACGGUUCUGAAGCUGAAGAUCUCGACUACGCUGUCACUGAAAGACAAUAAAGAUAAAAUCGAGAAAGCGAUUAAAGAUGAACUGAUCAGACGAGGGCUGCCUCCAGACAUAAAGGUCCGCCUGCUGAGCGACGGUUCAGUGAAGAUUAAAGAAACAGCUGCCCCCUAGUGGCUAACAAUGAGAAUGAAUCUGAUCCAAAAUGUUUGUCUUGGUUUAUCUGUUUUUACUUCCUGUUCCUUCUAUGUAGGGAUUAUGGUUGCUUUAGGUAGUCGGACUAAACUUACUUAUGACAUUAAGCAAAAAUAGAGAGAAUUUCUAUUUCUGUGUGAAUUUUAAAAAAUCAUGAUACUUUCAUAAAGAAGUUAAUGAAACAGCUGCCCCCUAGUGGCUAAAUGUGAUAAUGAAUCUGUUUCAUUAAGAGAAAUGUAUCUGUUUUAAUUUUAGGGACUUGUGUUUGUUUUAGGUAGUGGACUAAACGUAGUUAAGAAAAUAAUAAUUUUUUUUCUGUGUUACAAUCUUUACAAAUUGCAGAUAAUUCCUCUUCCAUGUGUAACAUUUAUGGCUGUGGGUUUUUUAUUGACCUUUAUAUCAUAUCAUGUUCUGUGGUGGUAUUUCUGUGGAGCUCAUGAUUUUUAUGUGAUCAUUUUAUUUGCAUAUUUUGUAUGUGGAGAUUUUAUAAAUGCAUAUAGGCUGGAAAACAGUGGAGUAUAAAAUAAAAUCAAUCAAUAUUGA